GAUGAACGCUGGCGGCGUGCCUAAUACAUGCAAGUCGAGCGGACCAAAGAGAGCUUGCUCUCUGAGGUUAGCGGCGGACGGGUGAGUAACACGUGGGUAACCUGCCUGUAAGACGGGGAUAACUUCGGGAAACCGAAGCUAAUACCGGAUGAUAAAGAGAAACGCCUGUUUCUUUUUUGAAAGUCGGCCUUGUGCUGACGCUUACAGAUGGGCCCGCGGCGCAUUAACUAGUUGGUGAGGUAACGGCUCACCAAGGCGACGAUGCGUAGCCGACCUGAGAGGGUGAUCGGCCAAACUGGGAUUGAGACACGGCCCAGACUCCUACGGGAGGCAGCAGUAGGGAAUCUUCGGCAAUGGACGAAAGUCUGACCGAGCAACGCCGCGUGAGCGAUGAAGGCCUUCGGGUCGUAAAGCUCUGUUGUCAGAGAAGAACAAGUACCGGAGUAACUGCCGGUACCUUGACGGUACCUGACCAGAAAGCCACGGCUAACUACGUGCCAGCCGCCGCAGUAAUAC
rnacentral:rRNA from 1 species